AUUGAACGCUGGCGGCAUGCCUUACACAUGCAAGUCGAACGGUAACAGGUCUUCGGAUGCUGACGAGUGGCGAACGGGUGAGUAAUACAUCGGAACGUGCCCGAGAGUGGGGGAUAACGAGGCGAAAGCUUUGCUAAUACCGCAUACGAUCUCAGGAUGAAAGCAGGGGACCGCAAGGCCUUGCGCUCACGGAGCGGCCGAUGGCAGAUUAGGUAGUUGGUGGGAUAAAAGCUUACCAAGCCGACGAUCUGUAGCUGGUCUGAGAGGACGACCAGCCACACUGGGACUGAGACACGGCCCAGCCUCCUACGGGAGGCAGCAGUGGGGAAUUUUGGACAAUGGGCGCAAGCCUGAUCCAGCCAUGCCGCGUGCAGGAUGAAGGCCUUCGGGUUGUAAACUGCUUUUGUACGGAACGAAAAGGCUCUGGUUAAUACCUGGGGUCCAUGACGGUACCGUAAGAAUAAGCACCGGCUAACUACGUGCCAGCCGCCGCAGAAACAC
rnacentral:rRNA from 1 species